UACGUAGGUGGCAAGCGUUGUCCGGAUUUACUGGGCGUAAAGAGCGCGCAGGCGGUCUUGUAAGUCGAAUGUGAAAGCCCCUGGCUCAACUGGGGAGGGUCAUUCGAUACUGCUCGACUUGAAGGCAGGAGAGGGAAGCGGAAUUCCCGGUGUAGUGGUGAAAUGCGUAGAUAUCGGGAGGAACACCAGUGGCGAAGGCGGCUUUCUGGCCUGUUCUUGACGCUGAGGCGCGAAAGCUAGGGGAGCAAACGGG
rnacentral:rRNA from 1 species